rnacentral:lncRNA from 1 species
CCACCACUGAAGAGACGGAGAGGAAAGCUAAAAAUGGCUCUGUUCAGGGGGUCACAGAAUUUGGAGUCAGCUUUGUGCCUCGGGCCGUGGUCGCGCGCCCACUGUGUUCCUCGGGAGACGCCACACGCGGUUGCAGGCGGGCGCGGGCGGGGCGCUCAGCAUGGCAAGUCUGCACGUGUAUCCAAGUUGCCGCGACUCAGCGAUGAUUUUCUGGCAGAUCUGAGCCAGGAGAGGGUUAAGAUCAAGUUAGAGGAGGUGUUUCAUAACCAGAGACGCUGCUACAGCAUGGCUUGAUGAGUGGUAUGCAGUUCUGUGCCCAGGAUCCAAACCCAGGAACACCAGGCCACCGAAGUGGAGUGUGCAAACUUAACCACUAUGCCACCAGGCCGGCCCCCAUGAAGAACUCUUUAACACACCUUUGGGCAUUCUUGUUGGGCUUUCUCUAUCUCUCAAAGACCUAAGGUCCAGAGUAUAUUUUGGGAAGGCUUGCUUUAUACUCAGAGAGAAUUGCUUCCUCCUACUUUAAAAACAGAAAGGAAGAUAAAGAUCUCAUUUCCAUAACACAAUGUAUAAAGACAACCUGAUUCAGCUGAUGACUGCC